rnacentral:rRNA from 1 species
UACGGGGGGAGCAAGCGUUGUUCGGAUUUACUGGGCGUAAAGGGCGCGUAGGCGGCCAGCGCAAGUCAGUUGUGAAAUCUCCGGGCUUAACUCGGAACGGUCAACUGAUACUGCGCGGCUAGAGUGCAGGAAGGGCAACUGGAAUUCUCGGUGUGGCGGUGAAAUGCGUAGAUAUCGAGAGGAACACCUGCGGCGAAGGCGGGUUGCUGGGCUGACACUGACGCUGAUGCGCGAAAGCGUGGGGAGCAAACAGG